rnacentral:rRNA from 1 species
AUUGAACGCUGGCGGAAUGCUUUACACAUGCAAGUCGAACGGUAGAGGGGGCAACCCCUUGAGAGUGGCGAACGGGUGAGUAAUAUAUCGGAACGUGCCCAGUCGUGGGGGAUAACGUAGCGAAAGUUACGCUAAUACCGCAUACGAUCUAAGGAUGAAAGCGGGGGAUCGCAAGACCUCGCGCGAUUGGAGCGGCCGAUAUCAGAUUAGGUAGUUGGUGAGGUAAAGGCUCACCAAGCCAACGAUCUGUAGCUGGUCUGAGAGGACGACCAGCCACACUGGAACUGAGACACGGUCCAGACUCCUACGGGAGGCAGCAGU